AAUGGGUAUAAGUCUAGUGUCACA
rnacentral:miRNA from 12 species